rnacentral:sRNA from 1 species
GAGAGAGAAGCAUUGUGAGAACAGAUGUCCUGGGUGAGGUGCCCCCUGGGCAGCCAUCUGCCUUCACCCUGGAGGAAACAUGCUUCCAGCGGGGACUGCAAAGUAACACCCUGGUUGGCCCUUUCCCCACAACAGCUGCCCUGUGCGGUUGGGGAAGCGGCUGUCACAGAUGAAUUCACAGAUGAAUCGGCAGAGUGCGCUGAUACAAAGCUUUUUGUCGAUAAAGAUACGAUUGUUAAUGCUGUCGGGGCAUCGCACGACAUCCACCUCCUGAAGAUUGACAAUCGAGAAGAUGAGCUGGUGACCAGAAUCAACUCUUGGUGUACACGUUUAAUAGACAAGAUUCACAAGGAUGAGAUCAUGAGGAACCGCAAGCGCGUGAAGGAGAUCAAUCAGUACAUCGACCACAUGCAGAGCGAACUGGACAACCUGGAAUGUGGCGACAUCCUAGACUAGAUGAAUGUCAGCCACAGGAGCUUCUUCAAAACAUAGCACCAGCCCCAGCCAGGAGAAGGAAGUGCACACGCCUCACCCAGCACCUCUAGAGAGUUGCUGGGCAUCUCUCAACCGCGAUCCCCAACACCAUUCUUCCCCCACCCCUGGAAAAACUUCCAAAAGUAGAGAAAAUAAAGGACUCAUUUCACAUUUCCCCUACUCAUAAAAAAAAAAAAAAAA